rnacentral:rRNA from 1 species
AGCCCGCUCGCCGGAAGACCAAGGGUUCCUGUCCAACGUUAAUCGGGGCAGGGUGAGUCGACCCCUAAGGCGAGGCCGAAAGGCGUAGUCGAUGGGAAACAGGUUAAUAUUCCUGUACUUGGUGUUACUGCGAAGGGGGGACGGAGAAGGCUAUGUUGGCCGGGCGACGGUUGUCCCGGUUUAAGCGUGUAGGCUGGUUUUCCAGGCAAAUCCGGAAAACCAAGGCUGAGGCGUGAUGACGAGGCACUACGGUGCUGAAGCGACAAAUGCCCUGCUUCCAGGAAAAGCCUCUAAGCAUCAGGUAACAUCAAAUCGUACCCCAAACCGACACAGGUGGUCAGGUAGAGAAUACCAAGGCGCUUGAGAGAACUCGGGUGAAGGAACUAGGCAAAAUGGUGCCGUAACUUCGGGAGAAGGCACGCUGAUAUGUAGGUGAAGCGACUUGCUCGUGGAGCUGAAAUCAGUCGAAGAUACCAGCUGGCUGCAACUGUUUAUUAAAAACACAGCACUGUGCAAACACGAAAGUGGACGUAUACGGUGUGACGCCUGCCCGGUGCCGGAAGGUUAAUUGAUGGGGUUAGCGGUAACGCGAAGCUCUUGAUCGAAGCCCCGGUAAACGGCGGCCGUAACUAUAACGGUCCUAAGGUAGCGAAAUUCCUUGUCGGGUAAGUUCCGACCUGCACGAAUGGCGUAAUGAUGGCCAGGCUGUCUCCACCCGAGACUCAGUGAAAUUGAACUCGCUGUGAAGAUGCAGUGUACCCGCGGCAAGACGGAAAGACCCCGUGAACCUUUACUAUAGCUUGACACUGAACAUUGAGCCUUGAUGUGUAGGAUAGGUGGGAGGCUUUGAAGUGUGGACGCCAGUCUGCAUGGAGCCGACCUUGAAAUACCACCCUUUAAUGUUUGAUGUUCUAACGUUGGCCCGUAAUCCGGGUUGCGGACAGUGUCUGGUGGGUAGUUUGACUGGGGCGGUCUCCUCCUAAAGAGUAACGGAGGAGCACGAAGGUUGGCUAAUCCUGGUCGGACAUCAGGAGGUUAGUGCAAUGGCAUAAGCCAGCUUGACUGCGAGCGUGACGGCGCGAGCAGGUGCGAAAGCAGGUCAUAGUGAUCCGGUGGUUCUGAAUGGAAGGGCCAUCGCUCAACGGAUAAAAGGUACUCCGGGGAUAACAGGCUGAUACCGCCCAAGAGUUCAUAUCGACGGCGGUGUUUGGCACCUCGAUGUCGGCUCAUCACAUCCUGGGGCUGAAGUAGGUCCCAAGGGUAUGGCUGUUCGCCAUUUAAAGUGGUACGCGAGCUGGGUUUAGAACGUCGUGAGACAGUUCGGUCCCUAUCUGCCGUGGGCGCUGGAGAACUGAGGGGGGCUGCUCCUAGUACGAGAGGACCGGAGUGGACGCAUCACUGGUGUUCGGGUUGUCAUGCCAAUGGCACUGCCCGGUAGCUAAAUGCGGAAGAGAUAAGUGCUGAAAGCAUCUAAGCACGAAACUUGCCCCGAGAUGAGUUCUCCCUGACUCCUUGA